rnacentral:rRNA from 1 species
UACGUAGGGUGCAAGCGUUGUCCGGAAUUAUUGGGCGUAAAGAGCUCGUAGGCGGUCUGUCGCGUCUGCUGUGAAAACCUAGGGCUUAACUCUGGGCGUGCAGUGGGUACGGGCAGACUAGAGUGCGGUAGGGGAGAUUGGAAUUCCUGGUGUAGCGGUGGAAUGCGCAGAUAUCAGGAGGAACACCAAUGGCGAAGGCAGAUCUCUGGGCCGUAACUGACGCUGAGGAGCGGAAAGCAUGGGGAGCGAACAGG